UACGUAGGGGGCAAGCGUUGUCCGGAUUUAUUGGGCGUAAAGAGCGUGUAGGCGGUUCGGUAGGUCCGUUGUGAAAACUCGAGGCUCAACCUCGAGACGCCGAUGGAAACCCUCGAACUAGAGUCCGGAAGAGGAGAGUGGAAUUCCUGGUGUAGCGGUGAAAUGCGCAGAUAUCAGGAGGAACACCAAUGGCGAAGGCAGCUCGCUGGGACGGUACUGACGCUGAGACGCGAAAGCGUGGGGAGCAAACAGG
rnacentral:rRNA from 1 species